AUGGCCCCCAAAUGCUAGUCUCCACCCCCGCCUCAAAAGAAGAAACCAAGACCACCUCCUGCUCAGGGACUGGAUGAGACAUCGGCCUCUGCAGGCUUGCCGAAGAAGGGAGAAAAAGAACAGCAAGAAGCAAUUGAACACAUUGAUGAAGUACAAAAUGAAAUAGACGGAUUUAAUGAACAAGCCAGUGAGGAGAUUUUGAAAGUAGAACAGAAAUAUAACAAACUCCGCCAACCAUUUUUUCAGAAGAGGUCAGAAUUGAUCGCCAAAAUCCCAAAUUUUUGGGUAACAACAUUUGUCAGCCAUCCACAAGUGUCUGCACUGCUUGGGGAGGAGGACGAAGAGGCACUGCAUUAUUUGACCAGAGUUGAAGUGACAGAAUUUGAAGAUAUUAAAUCAGGUUACAGAAUAGAUUUUUAUUUUGAUGAAAAUCCUUACUUUGAAAAUAAAGUUCUCUCCAAAGAAUUUCAUCUGAAUGAGAGUGGUGAUCCAUCUUCAAAGUCCACUGAAAUCAAAUGGAAAUCUGGAAAGGAUUUGACGAAACGUUCAAGUCAAACACAGAAUAAAGCCAGCAGGAAGAGGCAGCAUGAGGAACCAGAGAAGAGCUUCUUUACCUGGUUUACUGACCAUUCUGAUGCAGGUGCUGAUGAGUUAGGAGAGGUCAUCAAAGAUGAUAUUUGGCCAAACCCAUUACAAUACUACUUGGUUCCUGAUAUGGAUGAUGAAGAAGGAGAAGGAGAAGAAGAUCAUGAUGAUGAAGAGGAGGAAGGAUUAGAAGAUAUUGAUGAAGAAGGGGAUGAGGAUGAAAGUGAAGAAGAUGAAGAUGAUGGGGAGGAAGGAGAGGAGGAUGAAGGAGAAGAUGACUAAUAGAACACUGAUGGAUUCCAACCUUCCUUUUUUAAAAUUUUCUCCAGUCCCUGGGAGCAAGUUGCAGUCUUUUUUUUUUUCCUUCCCUCUCGUGCUCAGUCACCCUGUUUUUGAGGUCUCUUUUCUCUACACCAUGGUUCUCAACUUAUUUUGGGGGGAAAUAUCUUGAGCAGGAUACAAUGGGAAAAGAGUCUCUACCCCUUUCUGUUUGAAAUUCAUUUUUAAUCCCUUCCUGUCUCAACAAAAACUGUAUGGAAUCAAUACCACUGAGCUCUGUGGGAAAAAAGAAAAACCUGCUCCCUUCGCUCUGCUGGAAGCUGGAGGGUGCUAGGCCCCUGUGUAGAAGUGCAUAGAAUUCUAGCUUUUUUCCUCCUUUCUCUGUAUAUUGGGCUCAGAGAGUACACUGUGUCUCUAUGUGAAUAUGGACAGUUAGCAUUUACCAACAUGUAUCUGUCUACUUUCUCUUGUUUAAAAAAAAGAAAAAAAACUUAAAAUGGGGUUAUAGAAGGUCAGCAAAGGGUGGGUUUGAGAUGUCUGGGUGGGGUAAGUGGGCAUUUUGACAACAUGGCUUCUCCUUUGGCAUGUUUAAUUGUGACAUUUGACAGACAUCCUUGCAGUUUAAGAUGACACUUUUAAAAUAAAUUCUCUCCUAAUGAUGA